AGGAUCAUUACCGAGCGAGGGCCCUCUGGGUCCAACCUCCCACCCGUGUUUAUUGUACCUUGUUGCUUCGGCGGGCCCGCCGUCAUAGCCGCCGGGGGGCACCCGCCCCCGGGCCCGCGCCCGCCGAAGACCCCCUUGAACCCUGUCUAAAGAUUGCAGUCUGAGCGAUUAGCUAAAUCAGUUAAAACUUUCAACAACGGAUCUCUUGGUUCCGGCAUCGAUAAAGAACGCAGCGAAAUGCGAUAAGUAAUAUGAAUUGCAGAAUUCAGUGAAUCAUCGAGUCUUUGAACGCACAUUGCGCCCCCUAGUAUUCCGGGGGGCAUACCUAUCCGAGCGUCAUUGCUGCCCUCAAGCACGGCUUGUGUGUUGGGCCCCGCCCCCCGGUCCCGGGGGGCGGGCCCGAAAGGCAGCGGCGGCACCGCGUCCGGUCCUCA
rnacentral:misc_RNA from 1 species